rnacentral:rRNA from 1 species
AUGCAAGUCGAGCGGGGGAAGGUAGCUUGCUACUGGACCUAGCGGCGGACGGGUGAGUAAUGCUUAGGAAUCUGCCUAUUAGUGGGGGACAACAUCUCGAAAGGGAUGCUAAUACCGCAUACGUCCUACGGGAGAAAGCAGGGGAUCUUCGGACCUUGCGCUAAUAGAUGAGCCUAAGUCGGAUUAGCUAGUUGGUGGGGUAAAGGCCUACCAAGGCGACGAUCUGUAGCGGGUCUGAGAGGAUGAUCCGCCACACUGGGACUGAGACACGGCCCAGACUCCUACGGGAGGCAGCAGUGGGGAAUAUUGGACAAUGGGGGGAACCCUGAUCCAGCCAUGCCGCGUGUGUGAAGAAGGCCUUAUGGUUGUAAAGCACUUUAAGCGAGGAGGAGGCUACUUUAGUUAAUACCUAGAGAUAGUGGACGUUACUCGCAGAAUAAGCACCGGCUAACUCUGUGCCAGCAGCCGCGGUAAUACAGAGGGUGCGAGCGUUAAUCGGAUUUACUGGGCGUAAAGCGUGCGUAGGCGGCUUAUUAAGUCGGAUGUGAAAUCCCCGAGCUUAACUUGGGAAUUGCAUUCGAUACUGGUGAGCUAGAGUAUGGGAGAGGAUGGUAGAAUUCCAGGUGUAGCGGUGAAAUGCGUAGAGAUCUGGAGGAAUACC